GUCUUGCAGUGGCAGUAUCAUAGCCAAUGAAGUUAAUCUGAGGUGUGAUUAUUGCUAGUUGAAAACUAUUUCAAAGGCAGGUGUGGCAACUGAACACAUGUAAGUUCAUGCAUACCUCAGAGAUGCAUUCACAAAGGA